UGGAAACAGAUGCUAAUACCGCAUAACAACUUGGACCGCAUGGUCCGAGUUUGAAAGAUGGCUUCGGCUAUCACUUUUGGAUGGUCCCGCGGCGUAUUAGCUAGAUGGUGGGGUAACGGCUCACCAUGGCAAUGAUACGUAGCCGACCUGAGAGGGUAAUCGGCCACAUUGGGACUGAGACACGGCCCAAACUCCUACGGGAGGCAGCAGUAGGGAAUCUUCCACAAUGGACGAAAGUCUGAUGGAGCAACGCCGCGUGAGUGAAGAAGGGUUUCGGCUCGUAAAACUCUGUUGUUAAAGAAGAACAUAUCUGAGAGUAACUGUUCAGGUAUUGACGGUAUUUAACCAGAAAGCCACGGCUAACUACGUGCCAGCAGCCGCGGUAAUACGUAGGUGGCAAGCGUUGUCCGGAUUUAUUGGGCGUAAAGCGAGCGCAGGCGGUUUUUUAAGUCUGAUGUGAAAGCCUUCGGCUCAACCGAAGAAGUGCAUCGGAAACUGGGAAACUUGAGUGCAGAAGAGGACAGUGGAACUCCAUGUGUAGCGGUGAAAUGCGUAGAUAUAUGGAAGAACACCAGUGGCGAAGGCGGCUGUCUGGUCUGUAACUGACGCUGAGGCUCGAAAGUAUGGGUAGCAAACAGGAUUAGAUACCCUGGUAGUCCAUACCGUAAACGAUGAAUGCUAAGUGUUGGAGGGUUUCCGCCCUUCAGUGCUGCAGCUAACGCAUUAAGCAUUCCGCCUGGGGAGUACGGCCGCAAGGCUGAAACUCAAAGGAAUUGACGGGGGCCCGCACAAGCGGUGGAGCAUGUGGUUUAAUUCGAAGCUACGCGAAGAACCUUACCAGGUCUUGACAUACUAUGCAAAUCUAAGAGAUUAGACGUUCCCUUCGGGGACAUGGAUACAGGUGGUGCAUGGUUGUCGUCAGCUCGUGUCGUGAGAUGUCGGGUUAAGUCCCGCAACGAGCGCAACCCUUAUUAUCAGUUGCCAGCAUUAAGUUGGGCACUCUGGUGAGACUGCCGGUGACAAACCGGAGGAAGGUGGGGAUGACGUCAAAUCAUCAUGCCCCUUAUGACCUGGGCUACACACGUGCUACAAUGGAUGGUACAACGAGUUGCGAACUCGCGAGAGUAAGCUAAUCUCUUAAAGCCAUUCUCAGUUCGGAUUGUAGGCUGCAACUCGCCUACAUGAAGUCGGAAUCGCUAGUAAUCGCGGAUCAGCAUGCCGCGGUGAAUACGUUCCCGGGCCUUGUACACACCGCCCGUCACACCAUGAGAGUUUGUAACACCCAAAGUCGGUGGGGUAACCUUUUAGGAACCAGCCGCCUAAGGUGGGACAGAUGAUUAGGGUG
rnacentral:rRNA from 1 species